AAAAAACAAGACCAAACUUAACCUGUGUCACGCAGUACCAAACUAGUAAGAAGAUGUGCAUCUUUUGUGCCAAUACAUUCAAAAAUACCAAAGUUUAUUAAGAUAAUAAAAACCUGUUUUAGUUUCUGCUAAAUAUACCUUCAAAAUAUUGACUAAACUUCAACAAUUGGAUAAUUUGAUUUUGGCUGUUCUGUUUAUGCCCUAUUCAGUGUUAAUGCUCCCAUUUGAUUUGAUUUUUUUGCUUUCCUACUUUUUGAACUUGAGCGUUCCUGAUGAAGGUUAAUCCAGAAAAGCGAUUCAGACGCAGUAAAAUUGGCAUCUGUUUUUUAAUUUGGAAAGAACGCAAAAAAAGAGAGUACACAUCUUCAAUAUUUAUCUCAUGACUAUGCAAAGUAUCAUGAUUUUGGAAUUAAGAUUUUAUACCUUAAAAUCUUAAAAAAUAAAAAUGUAUAACAAGUGUAAAAGAAAAUAUCCAUAACAAGUUAAGAUUUUAUACCUUAAAAUCUUAAAAAAUAAAAAUGUAAUAAGAAACUGGACUAUAAAAAAACAAGACCAAACUUAACCUGUGUCACGCAGUACCAAACUAGUAAGAAGAUGUGCAUCUAAUUUGGAAAGAACGCAAAAAAAGAGAGUACACAUCUUCAAUAUUUAUCUCAUGACUAUGCAAAGUAUCAUGAUUUUGGAAUAAAGUUCCAGAUUUAGAUUACACACAGUAGGUACCAAUUAAAACAAUAUUUCCAGAAAAUGGCUGCAUUCAAUACAUGAAAAUUUGACAAAUAAUUUUAAGAAUCUGCCUAAUAUAGGAAGUGUACAUCUUCAAUAUUUAUCCAAUAACUAUGCAUAUUUUUAAGAAUGUCGAAUUAAUGCUUUUGGAGUUACAGAUUACACAAGGUAAGGCUAUAUCAGUCUUUGGCCAGACAGAGUUGCCCUUCUUUCGCCUUCGGUGACACAGGUUAAAAAAAACAUUCAGAAACAACAACUUUCAGACACAGGGACGGACAAGGUGACACUUAUAUAGUAUUAUACUCAAUAAUAUGAACAUCAAAAUGUUAUAAAAUUAAAUGCAUUUAAACUUGUUUCACUUGAACAUUUACAAAGGUUUAACAUCUGAAGAUUUUAAGUCUUUUGCAAAUAUCUUUUCGGCAGAUUGGACAGUUAUCUAACAUUUUCGCACAAUCCAUACACAUUGCCAAAUGGUUGCAUGGUGAAACUAGGCAAUCCGAUUCACUGUCCAUACAAAUCUUGCAUUCUG
rnacentral:lncRNA from 1 species